UUCGUAUUGUUGUGAGAGAGGUGAAAUUCUUAGACCACAGCAAGACGAACUACUGCGAAAGCAUUUGCCAAGAAUGUUUUCAUUGAUCAAGAACGAAAGUUAGAGGUUCGAAGGCGAUCAGAUACCGCUCUAGUUCUAACCAUAAACUAUGCCAACUAGCAAUUUGCUUAUGUAUGUUUCAUGACUAGGUGAGAGGCCACGGGAAACCAAAGUAGGGUUAUGGGGGAAGUAUGGUUGCAAAGCUGAAACUUAAAGGAAUUGACGGAAGGGCACCACCAGGAGUGGAGCCUGCGGCUUAAUUUGACUCAACACGGGAAAACUUACCUGGUCCUGACACUAGAAGGAUUGACAGAUUGAUAGCUCUUUCUUGAUUUGGUGGAUGGUGGUGCAUGGCCGUUCUUAGUUGGUGGAGUGAUUUGUCUGGUUAAUUCCGAUAACGAACGAGACUCUAGCCUAUUAAAUAACACACAGAAUCAUGUCUUCUGCGGUGUUUCUUAAUGGGAUCAAGUGUGUUUAACACUU
rnacentral:rRNA from 1 species